rnacentral:rRNA from 1 species
UACGUAGGGGCUAGCGUUGUCCGGAAUCAUUGGGCGUAAAGAGCGUGUAGGCGGUCCGGUAAGUCCGCUGUGAAAGUCGGGGGCUCAACCCUCGAAUGCCGGUGGAUACUGUCGGGCUAGAGUGCGGAAGAGGCGAGUGGAAUUCCUGGGUGAUAGCGGGUGAAAUGACGCAGAUAUCAGGAGGAACACCUGCGGUGUAGACGGCUUUUCUGGACCAUUUUGUUUGACGCUGAGACGACGAACGUGGGGAGCAAAACAGG